rnacentral:rRNA from 1 species
AUUGAACGCUGGCGGCAUGCCUUACACAUGCAAGUCGAACGGCAGCACGGGUGCUUGCACCUGGUGGCGAUUGGCGAACGGGUGAGUAAUACAUCGGAACGUACCUUAUCGUGGGGGAUAACGCAGCGAAAGCUGUGCUAAUACCGCAUACGCCCUGAGGGGGAAAGCGGGGGACCGCAAGACCUCGCGCGAUUAGAGCGGCCGAUGCCUGAUUAGCUAGUUGGUGGGGUAAAAGCCCACCAAGGCGACGAUCAGUAGCUGGUCUGAGAGGACGAUCAGCCACACUGGGACUGAGACACGGCCCAGACUCCUACGGGAGGCAGCAGUGGGGAAUUUUGGACAAUGGGGGCAACCCUAAUCCAGCAAUGCCGCGUGAGUGAAGAAGGCCUUCGGGUUGUAAAGCUCUUUUGUCAGGGAAGAAACACCGGCUCUAACACAGUCCGGGAAUGACGGUACCUGAAGAAUAAGCACCGGCUAACUACGUGCCAGCCGCCGCGGUAA